rnacentral:rRNA from 1 species
GACGAACGCUGGCGGCGUGCCUAAUACAUGCAAGUUGAGCGAUGAAGCUUGGUGCUUGCCCCAAUUUGAAGAGCAGCGAACGGGUGAGUAACGCGUGGGGAAUCUGCCUUUGAGCGGGGGACAACAUUUGGAAACGAAUGCUAAUACCGCAUAAUAACUUUAAACAUAAGUUUUAAGUUUGAAAGAUGCAAUUGCAUCACUCAAAGAUGAUCCCGCGUUGUAUUAGCUAGUUGGUGAGGUAAAGGCUCACCAAGGCGAUGAUACAUAGCCGACCUGAGAGGGUGAUCGGCCACAUUGGGACUGAGACACGGCCCAAACUCCUACGGGAGGCAGCAGUAGGGAAUCUUCGGCAAUGGACGAAAGUCUGACCGAGCAACGCCGCGUGAGUGAAGAAGGUUUUCGGAUCGUAAAACUCGGUUGGUAGAGAAGAACGUUGGUGAGAGUGGAAAGCUCAUCAAGUGACGGUAACUACCCAGAAAGGGACGGCUAACUACGUG